UACGUAGGGACCAAGCGUUGUUCGGAUUUACUGGGCGUAAAGGGCGCGUAGGCGGCGUUGUAAGUCACUUGUGAAAUCUCUGAGCUUAACUCAGAACGGCCAAGUGAUACUGCAGUGCUAGAGUGUGGAAGGGGCAAUCGGAAUUCUUGGUGUAGCGGUGAAAUGCGUAGAUAUCAAGAGGAACACCUGAGGUGAAGACGGGUUGCUGGGCCAACACUGACGCUGAGGCGCGAAAGCCAGGGGAGCAAACGGG
rnacentral:rRNA from 1 species